CUAUAAACAGGAACGCGCUCUCAGACAACCACAAGGGAAACCACGACAGGGCACUGAGCAGGCUGAGAACUGGGCCUAAAUACCCCUCCUUUAGUUCUGAUAGGCUGUAACCGGCCUUUGACCCCAAAGUCAGUUACCAGGUUUCAUUUGCAUAAUUGCUGCUCAGCAUUAACCCUUCUGUGGAUUAGGUUGCUGCUCGGCACAACUUUUCCUGUGUGGACAGUAAAUGUCAUUAAUCACUUUUCUCUAAGCGGAUGAAUACAUGACACCAGGUUUCAUUUGCACAAUUACUGCUCAGCAUUAACCCUUCUGUGGAUUAGGUUGCUGCUCGGCACAACUUUUCCUGUGUGGACAGUAAAUGUCAUU